ensembl:snoRNA Snord37 small nucleolar RNA, C/D box 37
ACAUGUGAUGACGGAAAUUCUUCACUUUGACCUGAUGUCUGCUGAAGAAACUCAGAGUCUGAUC